GGGCUCAGAUGUGUUAUGAUAAGGCAAAGAGAAGCCAGCAAUGCCAUAGCUGCAAAACACCAGUUGCAAGUGAGAGACAGAAAUCUCAAUCACAGGUCAUACUGCGUUGCCACGCCAAGAUACGGGUCGGCUCGUCUCUAUACCCAAAUCGGUUAGCCCAGAUAAAAGAAACAUCAUCAUCACUGCCUCUUUAUGUAACUUCCAUCAGCAACAUAAACACACAAAAAAAAAGUAAAUUCAGAUUUUGCUGGAGAUCUUUUUUACUUUUUUCCGGAAUUUUACAAUUCUUAUGUCCAAACGUUGUCUGUUCUGCUUUUCUCAUAAACACGGGCUGUUGGUUUUUUUUUUUUUGGAAAAUCAAUGGCGGAACAGAGAGGGGCAACCACCCUUCUAAUGAAAAUCCCAAUACUCUCUGUUUUGCCUCAUUUUUCUGGGCUAACCUUUUUGCAUUGGAAAUUCUCGUGCAUUUUUCAACUGCGAAUUUCAAAAUUCAACAGAAGAGAGCCCAUUUUUUUGAUAAGGAAAAAGCGGGUAUAGAUGCAAAUGAAAACAGAAAAGAGCCCAUAAAUCUGCAUUUACGAAAAUACCUUUCCAAUUGAGGCUCAGAUCUGUAAUAUUGAAGAUAAGGCAAGAGAUUGGAGACACCGCCAUGGCUGCAAACACCGAUUGCAAGUCGUCACCGUACGUGUCGCCCCACCAAGAUACGGGUCCGAUUGUUCUCCUGCCCUAAUCAAUUUGCUCAGAGACAGAAGAACAAAUUAUCAUCACAACAUCAAAUUUUUGCUACAAUUAAUAUUAUUAUAACUAUUAUUCUCUUUUCCGGAGUGAGGAUUCGGAGAUACAGUAGAGUGGUCGUUUGGACAUAGUUUACUGCAGAAGGGCAUUUUUGGCAAAAAUGAAGUCAUAGGUAUUGUAGAGAGAAGCAGCUGCCCUUUGAGCUUCCCUCUACUCUCUGCAACCCUCAUUCACUAUCUCUCACCUUUUGGUUUUCUGCUCUGUGUCAAAGAGAACUAUUUAAAGUGUCAACAAUUCUUGUUUUGCUCACUGACGUACAACUUGAUUCCAUGCUUAGGAGCAAAAAGUAGUUCAAAUUCAAAGAAGAAUAAGUUUUAGAUGUUUCUAUUUCACAGUAUUUACGAGGCUCAGACAUGCAAAGAGAGAUCCCGCAAAAGAGAGUCGACUGCGACAUGGCUGCAAAAUCACCGGUUGCAUCAAAGAAAAAGCCUCCAAAUCGUCAACUAACCGUCGGUGAUUUGCCAAGCCAAGUUACAGGUCAUAUAGUCUCUAUGACCGACCCAGUUAGCCCAGAGUUAGCCCAGAAUCUGGAUAAAAUAUCAUCACUGCAUCAAUUGUUAUGUAUCAAAAAAGAGGAACUAAAAUCACAGAAUCAGAGACAGAGAAAAGAGAGAUCCGGCCGUUGUUGUUGAUUGAUGCUGAAGAAUUAAGAAAAUAACUUUCCAAUUGAGGCUCAUAAGCCUGCAUUUAAGAAAAUAACUUUCCAAUUGAGGCUCAGAUCUGUAAUAUUUGAAGAUAAAGCAAGAGAUUGGAGACACCACCAUGGCCGCAAAUACCCGCAACAAGACAUCACCAUCCGGGUUGCCCCGCCAAGACACAGGUCCGAUUGUUCUCUUGCCCUAAUCGAUUUGCUCAGAGACAGAAGAAAAAAUAUCAUCACAGCCUCAGAUUUUUGCUACAAUUAUUAUUAUUAUUACUCUUGAUUCUCUUUUUGGAGUCAGGAUUUGGAGAUGAUUAGCAGAGACCAAUAAUAGCCAAUCGAAAUACUUAAGGGGUCGUUUGGUUAGAGUAUAAUGCAGAAGGGCAUUCGGCAAAAAUGAAAUCACAGGAAUUGUAGAGAGGAGCAGCUUUGAUGGUAAGCAACCUCACUUCCAACCGAGAGGUUGUGAGUUCGUGGCAAAAAUGAAAUCACAGGAAUUGUAGGAAUUGUAGAGAGGAGCAGCUCUGAUGGUAAGCAACCCCACUUCCAACCGAGAGGUUGUGAGUUUAAGUCUCCCCAGGAGCAAGGUGGGAAGUUAUUGGAGGGAAAGAUGCCGGGGGUCUAUUUGGAAACAGCCUCUCUACCCCAGGGUAGGGAUAAGUUCUGCGUACACACUACCCUCCCCAGACCCCACUAAAUGGGAUUAUACCGAGUUGUUGUUGUUGUAGAGAGGAGCAGCUGCCCUUGAGCUUCACUCUACUCUCUGCAACCCUCAUUCUUUGUCCCUGAGCUUUGAGCUUUUACUUUUCUGCUUUGUGUGAAAGAAAACCAUUUAAAGCAUUGAUAAUCUUGUCUUGCCUUCUGGUGUGUGUGUUUACAUAAACGACUGACUGGAUUAUUGUUGAUUUUUUCUUUCAAAGGAGAUACAAAAGUUUUUAUCCUCUACAAUCUUCUUCUAGAGAUUAUUAUGCUUAGCUAAGACUUAUCCCUUCAUUUUCUUUGAUUGAUUUUAUUCAAAAAGUUACCAAUAUCUUUUGAGUCAAACAGGCUUAUCAUGAAUGUGUUAUGAUAAGGCAAAGAGAAGUCAGUUGCGCUAUGGCUGCAAAACACCAAUUGCAAGUGAGAGACAGAAAUCUCAAUCACAUGCCAUACCGAGUUGCCAAGCCAAGAGGGAUUGGGUCAUCUCAAUGCCCAAAUCGGUUAGCCCAUAUACAAGAAACAUCAUCAUCACUGCCUCUUUAUGUAACUUCCGUCAGCAACAUGAACACACACACAAAGAAACAAAAAGUAAAAAUACAGAUUUCACUGGAAUUUUUUUUAACUUCUUUCCGGAAUUUUAAAAUUCUUAUGUCCAAACGCUGUCUGCUUCUGCUUUUGUCAUAAACAAGGGCUGUUGGUUUAUUUUGAAAAUGGAGGAAAAUCAAUGGAGGAACAGAGAGGGGCAACCACCCUUCUAAUGAAAAUUCCAAUACUCUCUGUUCUGCCACAUUUCUUUCUGGCUAACCUUUUUACAUUUUUAGGGGAAAUUCUCGAGGGUUUUGCACCAGCGAAUUUCAAUAUUUAAUGGAAAAGAGCUCUUAAGAUCAAGAAAAUAACCUUCCAAUUGAGGCUCAGAUCUGUCAUAUUUGAAGAUAAGGCAAGAGACUGGAGACACCGCCAUGGCUGCAAACACCGGUUGCAAGUCGUCACCGUCCGGGUCGCCCCGCCAAGAUACGAGUCCAAUUGUUCUCCUGUCCUAAUAAUUUUGCUCAGAGACAGAAGAAAAAACUAUCAUCACAGCCUCAGAAUUUUGCUACAAUUAUUAUUAUUACUACUAUUGAUUCUCACUUUGGGAGUGAGGAUUUGAGAUACAGUAGAGUGGUCGUUUGGACAUAGUUUACUACAGAAGGGCAUUUUUGGCAAAAAUGAAAUCAUAGGUAUUGUAGAGAGGAGCAGCUGCCCUUUGAGCCUCUCUCUACAUUCACUGACUCUGAGAUUCUGGCUUUCUGCUCUGUGUCAAAGAGAACUAUUUAAAGCAUGAACAAUUCUUAUUUUGCCCACUGACGUACAACUUGAUUCCAUGCAUAGGAGCAAAAAAAUAGUUAAAAUUCAAAGAAAAAGAAGUUUUAGGUCAAUUUCGCAGUACGUAACUAAGAGGCUCAGAUAUGCAAAGAGAGGCGACCGCGCCAUUGCUGCAAAAUCACCGGGUCCGGUUGCAUGCAAAGAAAAAGCCUCCGAAUCGGUAGCUAACCGUCCGGUGAUUUGCCAGGCCAAGUUACGGGUCGGAUAGUCGCUAUGCCCGAUCCAGUUAGCCCAGAAUCCGGAUAAAAUAUCAUCACUGCCUCAAUUGUCAGGAACUAA
rnacentral:lncRNA from 1 species